rnacentral:rRNA from 1 species
UACGAAGGGGGCUAGCGUUGCGCGGAAUCACUGGGCGUAAAGCGCACGUAGGCGGCUUUCUAAGUCAGGGGUGAAAUCCUGGAGCUCAACUCCAGAACUGCCUUUGAUACUGGAGAGCUUGAGUCCGGAAGAGGUGAGUGGAACUCCGAGUGUAGAGGUGAAAUUCGUAGAUAUUCGGAAGAACACCAGUGGCGAAGGCGGCUCACUGGUCCGGUACUGACGCUGAGGUGCGAAAGCGUGGGGAGCAAACAGG